CAGCAUAGAGCAGAUGCCAGAGGAGGUUGACACCUUCUGGAGCGGAUGCCAGGAGCAACAGAACCUUCCCACCAACCCCAGCAGGUUUGCAGUGGUGACCAUAAAGGCCCUGCUUUGCCAUCUGAAAUAUGAGGAUGUGGUGUUUUCAAUGGAACGCAAGCGUGGCUGGGACACGCUCCUCAGGCCUGACACCCACCACUACGCAGUGGGUCUGCUGGCCAGGGAGAUCCGCCGUGUCUCCAGCCCCUUGUGUUCCCGGAUCACACUCCACCUGCUGGAGCUGC